ACCGAGAAAAAUCACAAGGACUGCUAAACCCCAUUCCCGUACCUAAAACUACGGUUUUC
rnacentral:tRNA from 1 species